CCUACGGGUGGCAGCAGUGAGGAAUAUUGGUCAAUGGGCGCGAGCCUGAACCAGCCAAGUAGCGUGAAGGAUGACUGCCCUACGGGUUGUAAACUUCUUUUAUAAAGGAAUAAAGUGAGGCACGUGUGCCGUUUUGUAUGUACUUUAUGAAUAAGGAUCGGCUAACUCCGUGCCAGCAGCCGCGGUAAUACGGAGGAUCCGAGCGUUAUCCGGAUUUAUUGGGUUUAAAGGGAGCGUAGGUGGGUUGGUAAGGCAGUUGUGAAAGUUUGCGGCUCAACCGGAAAAUUGCAGUUGAUACUGGCAGUCUUUCUUACAGUUGAUGUAGGCGGAAUUCGUGUUGUCGCGGU
rnacentral:rRNA from 1 species